ACGACAUGUUUCAAUUGCAACUUGGUCUCCGUGGCCUAGGCCAACGUUUUGGCUCUCCAAAUGAGCCAAAGCAUUGGCUUAGGGCAUCCCUUUUUCAAUGCUGAUUUUACAUGGGAUCACGGGAUUCUACCUUCUUUGGUUUUCUCAUGUGGUUUUCCCAGCUAGUUUCGUCGUCAGAUUUGACAUUUGGAUUCUUUACGGCCUUUUCUUUUCAAAUUUUGUUAAAACUAAAUUCGAAAUAGAAAGGAUAAAAUCAUGAAAGAGUGGGAAAGAAACUGUUUUUGUGUGGAGGAGUCAUUUUAUUGUAUGUAAAAGAUUUCUAAAAAUUUGUGGAGGAAGCUUUAUUCUACGAAUGUACACAUUUUUAGGGGUAAUAAAUGAAAUUUAAAAAGUCAUUUUUAAAGCAAUGGUCAAAAUUACAAAUCUCUAGGAAAUUCUGGAUUGAUUUCAGGAUCUAAAGUUACGGUCAAAGAUUCAACAGAUUACGUUUAUAUACUUUUUUCUCGUAAACAACAGUUUUGCUUAACGACCUGCAACAAAUUAUCUUUAAUUUUAAUCUUUUGACAGUUUAUCCCUGAAGAUAAGUUGAACCCAAGUUCCAUGAAGGAAACCAUAGAGUCAUCAAAAGAUCAACACCAACUAUUUUGGAUAAAGGACUAUAUAGGGAUGUUAUGUCAGGAAGGAUUUCCACCUCAGUACUGUAUGUAGCCGAGGAAAAGUAAGAUUUACAUUCAAAAUGGAAGGUACUAACUACACAUAAAAUGGAAAAAUGGAAUGGAUAAAACAAUUUUAUUCACAGUUGUAUGAACGAAAGAGAAGAAGUACUUCCACAACAAAUGCCAGGAGCAUUUAUGUGGGAAUUGCGACUUUGAAAAGCAUAGACAACUUUUCAGUCAUCGUCGUUGUCAUUUAUUCCUUGACAACCACCUUGUCUUGUUACGGCCAACGAAAUUCGUAAGCCUUGAAGGAGUCAUUACAGUCAUAGACAUUCUGAUUCCUCUUUACGUUCCAACAGCU
rnacentral:lncRNA from 1 species